AGAGUUUGAUCCUGGCUCAGGAUGAACGCUAGCGACAGGCCUAACACAUGCAAGUCGAGGGGUAUAGUAGCAAUACUAGAGACCGGCGCACGGGUGCGUAACGCGUAUGUAACCUGCCUCACACUGGGGGAUAGCCUUCCGAAAGGGAGAUUAAUACCGCAUAAUAUUGUUUAUCUGCCUGGAUAGACAAUUAAAGCUUCGGUGGUGUGAGAUGGACAUGCGUAUGAUUAGCUAGUUGGCGGGGUAACGGCCCACCAAGGCGACGAUCAUUAGGGGUUCUGAGAGGAAGAUCCCCCACACUGGUACUGAGACACGGACCAGACUCCUACGGGAGGCAGCAGUGAGGAAUAUUGGUCAAUGGGCGAAAGCCUGAACCAGCCAUGUCGCGUGCAGGAAGACGGCCCUAUGGGUUGUAAACUGCUUUUGUAUGGGAAGAAACGACGGUACGAGUACUGUUUUGCCGGUACCAUACGAAUAAGGAUCGGCUAACUCCGUGCCAGCAGCCGCGGUAAUACGGAGGAUCCAAGCGUUAUCCGGAUUUAUUGGGUUUAAAGGGUGCGUAGGCGGGAGAUUAAGUCAGUGGUGAAAGUUUGCGGCUCAACCGUAAAAUUGCCAUUGAUACUGGUUUUCUUGAGUACAGUUGAGGUAGGCGGAAUGUGGUGUGUAGCGGUGAAAUGCUUAGAUAUACCACAGAACACCGAUUGCGAAGGCAGCUUACUAAGUUGUGACUGACGCUGAAGCACGAAAGCAUGGGGAUCAAACAGGAUUAGAUACCCUGGUAGUCG
rnacentral:rRNA from 1 species